AACGUAGGUGGCGAGCGUUAUCCGGAUUUACUGGGCGUAAAGGGUGUGCAGGCGGGUCAUUAAGUGGUGUAUGAAAUCGCCCGGCUCAACCGGGCGAGGUUAUGCCAGACUGAUGGUCUAGAGAGCGAGAGAGGGAUGCGGAAUUCCAGGUGUAGCGGUGAAAUGCGUAGAUAUCUGGAGGAACACCGGUGGCGAAGGCGGCAUCCUGGACCGGCAUUGACGCUAAAGCGCGAAAGCCAGGGGAGCAAACGGG
rnacentral:rRNA from 1 species